GUUCGGGUUCACCAUUGAUCAUCUUCGUGGUCAUGUUGCGAAGAAAAUAUAUGUAAACAAUUUCAACUUCAAUGAGAUAUGUUGUGCUGUGAGAAGAACACCUAACAGGAAAGAUUACUGAGUUAUUGGAGAAAAGACUUCAGAGGAGGGCUACUAAGAAGAUUUGGGGAUGGACAGUGUUUCACAGGCGGCGUCAGUUUAAAACAAAUUAUAAUCAUGUGGAGGACUAAAACUGUUAAGCAUCAUCGACGACCGAAAAAUAAACAAACAAAAAAGAUUCUUAUGUUCGACGAAGAGGAAAG